GGAGUUAGCCGGUGCUUCUUCUGCGAGUAACGUCACAGAUGUAAGGUAUUAACUUACACCCUUUCCUCCUCGCUGAAAGUGCUUUACAACCCGAAGGCCUUCUUAACACACGCGGCAUGGCUGCAUCAGGGUUUCCACCAUUGUGCAAUAUUCCCCACUGCUGCCUCCCGUAGGAGUCUGGGCCGUGUCUCAGUCCCAGUGUGGCUGAUCAUCCUCUCAGACCAGCUAGGGAUCGUCGCCUAGGUGAGCCUUUACCUCACCUACUAGCUAAUCCCACCUGGGCUUAUCCAUCAGCGCAAGGCCCGAAGGUCCCCUGCUUUCCCCCGUAGGGCGUAUGCGGUAUUAGCAGUCGUUUCCAACUGUUAUCCCCCACAAAUGGGCAAAUUCCCAGGCAUUACUCACCCGUCCGCCGCUCGUCAUCUUCAAAAGCAAGCUUUUGAAAUGUUACCGCUCGACUUGCAUGUGUUAGGCCUGCCGCCAGCGUUCAAUCUGAGCCAGGAUCAAACUCUGA
rnacentral:rRNA from 1 species